GUGAACGCUGGCGGUAGGCCUAACACAUGCAAGUCGAACGGCAGCACAGUAAGAGCUUGCUCUUACGGGUGGCGAGUGGCGGACGGGUGAGGAAUACAUCGGAAUCUACUUUUUCGUGGGGGAUAACGUAGGGAAACUUACGCUAAUACCGCAUACGACCUACGGGUGAAAGCAGGGGAUCUUCGGACCUUGCGCGAUUGAAUGAGCCGAUGUCGGAUUAGCUAGUUGGCGGGGUAAAGGCUCACCAAGGCGACGAUCCGUAGCUGGUCUGAGAGGAUGAUCAGCCACACUGGAACUGAGACACGGUCCAGACUCCUACGGGAGGCAGCAGUGGGGAAUAUUGGACAAUGGGCGCAAGCCCGAUCCAGCCAUACCGCGUGGGUGAAGAAGGCCUUCGGGUUGUAAAGCCCUUUUGUUGGGAAAGAAAAGCAGCAGGUUAAUACCCCGCUGUUCUGACGGUACCCAAAGAAUAAGCACCGGCUAACUUCGUG
rnacentral:rRNA from 1 species